GGCUCGUUGGUCUAGGGGUAUGAUUUCUCGCUUAGGGUGCGAGUGGUCCCGGGUGCAAAUCCCGGGACGAGCCC